ACGACUGUGGUUUUUAGUAGCGGUUCUGUAAGAAGUCUUUCGUUUGCUGGUUGCCUUGCUAUUACUUCUCGUGAACUCACUUGCCCUAAUCUUGAGCAAGUCACUUUAGAUGGAUGUGGUCAUUUUGAAAACGCCACUUUUUGUCCUGAUGCAAAGUGUAACAUUAUGGGUGGCUACGGUGUUGACUUUGGUGACCGACGAGUAUUUCGACCAAGUAUAUUAUUUCAAUUAUAGGUUUCAUUAUGUAUCCGUCAUGUGUAACUGUUUUCUUGGAGCUAUUAUUUUCCCUUUGUUAUAAGUACUGUUAAUAUGCAGUGUCUCUACUAAAGCAAUGUUAGGUAAAAAAAGGUGGUAUUCUUGUGUGAA